GUUCUUGUACCCGGAACUCAUGUCCAAAUUGAUAGGUUUCUGGCUGAAAGAGGAAGUGAGCCCAAGUAUGUAGGCCGCUACAGAGUAACAGACCCUGAUUCACUGAUGGCUGCAAUGGAUGCAGCUGGAAGAAUUCGUCUUAUGAUAGAGGCAAAGUUGUCUCCGGGGCCAUCAUUGACUGGUGUCCGCCGGCAUGGAGAAAAUAGUCGCUGGCAUGAUGGUGUUAGUGUUGCUAGCGGUAAUUUUCUAGCAAUGAAGAGAAGAGGAGUUGUAGAAGGAACUGAUU
rnacentral:misc_RNA from 1 species